CAUCUCAUAAAUCUUCAGUUCUUCCUCCAAGGAUGUAGAAAUGAUGGCGGAGAGGAACUCUUUGCAGCUACAGUUUGUGGUAUGAUGACAUUGCUAUGGUUUGAAUAUGUCCACCCUCAUGAAUGGAUUAAUGCCAAUUCUAAAAAGGCUUGAGGCUGUGAGUUCCCUCUCUUGUUCUGUGUAUGCUCUCUUGCCCUUCCACCUUCCACCAUGUGAUGAUGCAGCAGGACGGACCUUACCACAUUUAGACCCCCAGAUCUUGGACUUCCCAAUCUUCAGAACUUUGAGCCAUAUAGGCUUCUAUUCAUUGUAAAUUACCCAGUCUCAAGUAUUCUGUCAUAGCAGCACAAAACACACUAAGACAGGCCUAAUGGUAAUUACCUGCUGCCAACUGUACUGUGAGUAAAAGUGCAUUUAAAAAUCAAAUGGCAGCACUUGGCUUCAAAGCUGGCUCUUGGAAGUUGAGCAGAGAGCGACGUGGUUGUGGUAGCUGCCUCUGUGGCCACCGCGGGAUAAUAAGCCAGAAUCUGCUAUACCUAUUGACUAACUAUGGAAGAUUAUACCAAAAUAGAGAAAACUGGAGAAGGUACCUAUGGAGUUAUGUAUAAGGGUAGACACAAAACUACAGGUCAAGUGGUAGCCAUGAAAAAAAUCAGACUAGAAAGUGAAGAGGAAGGGGUUCCUAGUACUGCAAUUUGGGAAAUUUCUCUAUUAAAAGAACUUCGUCAUCCAAAUAUAGUCAGUCUUCAGGAAAUGCUUAUGCAGGAUUCCAGGUUAUAUCUCAUCUUCGAGUUUCUUUCCAUAGAUCUGAAGAAAUACUUGGAUUCUAUCCCUCCUGGUCAGUACAUGGAUUCUUCACUCGUUAAGAGUUAUUUAUACCAAAUCCUACAGGGGAUUGUGUUUUGUCACUCUAGAAGAGUUCUUCACAGAGACUUAAAACCUCAAAAUCUCUUGACUGAUGACAAAGGAACAAUUAAACUGGCUGAUUUGGGCCUUGCCAGAGCUUUCAGAAUACCUAUUAGAGUAUAUACACAUGAGGUAGUAACACUCUGGUACAGAUCUCCAGAAGUAUUGCUGGGGUCAGCUCGUUACUCAACUCUAGUUGACAUUUGGAGGAUACGCACCAUAUUUGCUGAACUAGCAACUAAAAAACCACUUUUCCAUGGGGAUUCAGAAAUUGAUCAACUCUUCAGGUUUUUCAGAGCUUUGGGCACUCCCAACAAUGAAGUGUGGCCAAAAGUGGAAUCUUUACAGGACUAUAAGAAUACAUUUCCCAAAUGGAAACCAGGAAGCCUAGCAUCCCACGUCAAAAACUUGGAUGAAAAUGGCUUGGAUUUGCUCUCGAAAAUGUUAAUCUAUGAUCCAGCCAAACGAAUUUCUGGCAAAAUGGCACUGAAUCAUCCAUAUUUUAAUGACGUGGACAAUCAGAUUAAGAAGAUGUAGCUUUCUGACAAAAAGUUUCCACAUGUUAUAACAACAGAUAGUUGUGUUUUUAUUGUUAACUCUUGUCUAUUUUUGUCUUAUAUAUAUUUGUUUGUUAUCAAAAUUAAGCUGUACUUCUUCUAAUUUCAAAAGUAUAACUUAAAAAUGUAAAUAUUCUAUAUGAAUUUAAAUAUAAUUCUGUAUAUGUGUGUAGAUCUCAAUGUAACAACUAUUUGCUACUAUAAUAAAACUAUAAUAUUGAUGUCAGGAA